GCUCCGGCCCCGCCUCCGCCCUGGAACGCAGCGCGCUCCGCCCGAGGCCUCCCGGCGGCCCAUACGGGAAUCGCGGAGCUUAGCUGUCGCCACCUCGCGCCGGGUCCGCGCGGCCCACGGGACCCCCCACUGACGCCCCCGGCCAGCGGUCCACAUGGACGUGCGGGGCCCUGAAGCCCCCGGCGGGCGCGCGCUGCGGGACGCGGCAGAAAAUCUAUUUCAGGAACUUCAGGAACAUUUUCAAGCUCUGACGGCAACAUUAAACCUCAGAAAUGGGAAAUCGCAUUGAGGACUUACAGAAGAAUGUCAAGGACUUAAUGGUGCAAGCUGGCAUUGAAAAUUCUAUUAAAGAACAAAUGCUGAAGACCUAACUGCAGCAUGUCUGUAUUUGGAGAUGGGGCCUCUACAGAAGUCAUUAAGGUUACAUCGGUCCUGAGGGUGGGGCCCUCAUCCAACAGGAUUCGUCUUUCUGAGAAGAGACGCAAGGGGCUCGCCUGCUCUCCCCUCCGUGCCUGCACCAGAGAAGGAGGCCAUCGGCAAGCCAAGGAGAGCCCUCCCCAGAAAUCACACGGACCAGCACCUUGAUCUGGGACUUCCAGAAAACAGAACUGUGAAAAGACAAGUUUCUGUUGUUUAAACCACCCAAUCUGAAGUAUUUUGUUAUGGCAGUCCUGGGCAGACUAAUACAAUAUGCAACACAUUUACAAUAAAUAUACAAUAAACUUACAAAUGUGGAA
rnacentral:lncRNA from 1 species